CUACGGGUUGCACCAGUGAGGAAUAUUGCACAAUGGGGGGAACCCUGAUGCAGCAACGCCGCGUGGAGGAUGACGCAUUUCGGUGUGUAAACUCCUUUUAUAUGUCAAGAAAAUGACGGUAGCAUAUGAAUAAGCACCGGCUAACUCCGUGCCAGCAGCCGCGGUAAUACGGAGGGUGCAAGCGUUACUCGGAAUCACUGGGCGUAAAGGACGCGUAGGCGGGUUGGAAAGUCAGGUGUGAAAUCCUACAGCUUAACUAUAGAACUGCACUUGAAACUUCUAAUCUAGAGUAUGGGAGGGGGAGAUGGAAUUAGUGGUGUAGUGGUAAAAUCCGUAGAUAUCACUAGGAAUACCUAAAGCGAAGGCGAUCUCCUGGAACAUUACUGACGCUAAGGCGUGAAAGCGUGGGGAGCAAACAGGAUUAGAUACCCCCGUAGUC
rnacentral:rRNA from 1 species